UGUGUGGCCCUGUCACCCACAGGCCUGUCUGGGCAUCCCAGCCAGGUGCAGCCCUGUACCCUCCAGGGUCUGGUCUGCCUUUCCUUUUGCAGGCCUCUGAUGACAGUGCCUUCUGUCAGCACUUGUGUGGUGAACUGGAUGACUACCUCUACAGCUUAGAAAGCUGGCUUGGCCGGAGGCGCCAGAGAAGGGGCCCUGCUGCUCCUCCUGCCAUCUCCUCCGUCUUGCUCUCCAGUCCUCCUUCUAUGCUGAGAGGCCAGGUCUGCAGAACAGAAGAUGGCUUUAGAUCCCAUUACAGAUGAACGUUUUGAGCCACUGUGUGGGUACUGGAAAUUGAACUUGGGUCCUUUGGAAUAAAGAACAGCUAGUGAUCCUAACCACUGAGUCAUGUCUCCAGCCCCAGCCUUGAUUAUUUUUAUGUUGAGCUGGGGACUGAGCCAGAGGGAUUCAUGCAUGCCAGGGAUCGGUGCCUUGCUCAGCCACCAUCAGAGAAGCUUCCUCCUGCAGCUGAUGGGACAAUACAGAGACCAUGCCAGACAUCACACAGAGAGUCCUUGGAACACACAGCUCUAAAUGGGAAGUCUCCGUCAAAUCCCUCCCCUCAGAACUUACAACCCCCCAAAAAAAAGAGGAGGCAGGA